CCAGCCUCCAGAACUGUGGGCUAAAUUCUAUACAAAUUACUCAAUCUCUGGUAUUUCAUGAUAGCAACAGAAGACCACCAAAGACAUCAUCCAGAGAGUAACUGAAAACACCUUCUCCUGAGGAUUCCCAAGGUUGUGUGACUUCUCCAAGCUCCAGGGAGUGGCCUGAAAACCCCAGUAGGGAUUUGCUGUGGCCUUUUCUCAGGAAUCAAUUCAACU
rnacentral:lncRNA from 1 species